UUGCCUCAGUAACGGCGAGUGAAGCGGCAAAAGCUCAAAUUUGAAAUCCUUCGGGAAUUGUAUUUUGAAGGUGGGUUUGGUUAGGAAAAGAUACUUUAAGUCCAUUGGAAAAUGGCGCCAUGGAGGGUGAUAGCCCCGUAAAAGUACCCCCUUUUCCUUUUAUCCAUUCCCUCCAAAGAGUCAAGUUGUUUGGGAAUGCAGCUCUAAGUGGGUGGUAAAUUCCAUCUAAAGCUAAAUAUUGGCGAGAGACCGAUAGCGAACAAGUACAGUGAUGGAAAGAUGAAAAGCACUUUGAAAAGAGAGUGAAAAAGUACGUGAAAUUGUUGAAAGGGAAGGGCUUGCAAGCAAACACAACCUCGGUUGGGCCAGC
rnacentral:rRNA from 1 species